CCCCGCCUAGCUCAAUCGGAUAGAGCGUCAGACUUUUAUACUGAUGGUCGACUGAUGGUCAAUGCCUGUGGUAAUUUGAAGGCUGCGAGUUCGACCCUCGCGGUGGGCU